GUAACACGUAUGCAACCUACCUUAUACUGGGGAAUAACUUCGAGAAAUCGGCGCUAAUACCCCAUAACACUGCGAAGAGGCAUCUCUUUGCAUUUAAAGCUCCGGCGGUAUAAGAUGGGCAUGCGUCCAAUUAGCUAGUUGGUGAGGUAACGGCUCACCAAGGCUACGAUUGGUAGGGGUUCUGAGAGGAUGAUCCCCCACACUGGUACUGAGACACGGACCAGACUCC
rnacentral:rRNA from 1 species